UAACACCAACUCCCCGAGUGGUCCGGAUGAUUAUUGGGCUUAAAGCGUCCGUAGCCGGCUCAGUAAGUCUCCGGUCAAAUCUGGUGUCUCAAGCGCCGGACCGCCGGAGAUACUGCUGGGCUAGGGAGUGGGAGAGGCGGGCGGUAUUCCCUGGGUAGGGGUAAAAUCCUAGAUCCAGGGAGGACCAUCGGUGGCGAAGGCGGCCCGCUAGAACGCGUCCGACGGUGAGGGACGAAAGCUGGGGGAGCGAUCCGGAUUAGAUACCCGGGUAGUCCCAGCUGUAAACGAUGCAGGCUAGGUGUUGGAACGGCUACGAGCCGUUUCAGUGCCGCAGGGAAGCUGUUAAGCCUGCCGCCUGGGGAGUACGGCCGCAAGGCUGAAACUUAAAGGAAUUGGCGGGGGAGCACCACAAGGGGUGAAGCUUGCGGUUU
rnacentral:rRNA from 1 species